rnacentral:lncRNA from 1 species
UGAAGGUUUAUGCUAAAGGUUCAUGAGGUGGUUAUAUGAUGACAAUGCUUUCUAUGAUUUUAAGUUUUACUGAAAAAAUCAUACAUGAAAUCGUAUUGGGGGAGGCUUUUUUUUGUCUUGUUUUUGUGUCUUUAGUGUAAGAAAUUUAGGUUUAUAGAGUGUUAGAAAUUAGGUUUAGACUUAAGUCUGAUUGUGUUGUUUAAGAAACUUUCGAUGAAAUAUGUAAUUUAGAGCUCAAGUUUGUGUAGAUUAGGAAUAUUCAAAAUGUAAUAGAAUUCAUGUAGUAAUGAAAAAGAUUUGGUUAUACCUUUGUUAAUAUUAUUGAUUUUAAAAAAAUAAUUGAUGAUUUAAAAAUAAAAAAAUUUAAAAAGUACCUAAUUAAAAAAGGAAAAUAAUAUUAAAAUAAUUUUAAAAAGUCAACAUUUGAUUUUUGUUGACGUUUGGUCUUUUAAUACAAAUAAGAAAUAAAAAGUAAUAUUAUGGGGUUCAAACCUGCAACCUUGCACCUGUGUCUCUGCCCAACUACCGAUUAAGCUGACUUACAUUUUUUAUUUUUUUGAUGGUCUAAAAAAUAAUAAAUACGUGAGCAAAAGUUAAGGUACGACACUUACAAUUUUCAAUGAUGAAAUCAUUAAAGAGUGGAUUAAGCUCAAGCGAUGACGAAGAAGUCGAAGCAUUAUAAAUCUAGUGUAAAUUUUUCUUCUCCCUACCUCUUUUACAUUUUUACAUAAUAUUACAUAAUAUUGUAUGUUGUUAACUAGUUUAUCUUUUAGAAUAUUACGAUAUCUAGAGUUUUUCUCUGCUCAUAAUAUUUAUCAAAUAAGUUUAGAUUUGUGAUGUAUCAUAAUUAUAAAGACCUUUAUUUUUGGAUUUUAUCAACCUUGAUAUAGAUCAAAUUUGAGUCAUGCACUAAAUUGAAUUAUGAUCAUUGUGUAAUUGUGUGUCAAAGCAACUUAAUGUAUUUCAGUUAUGUUGGUUUUUGAUUGUCUUAUGUAGUUUUGAUCUACAUUGAAAUAAAGAGUUUUUCAAAUCAUUUUUUAUGUUUUUGUUUCCGCCUAUCAUAUAUUUUUAUUAAACUCUAAUUAUGUAAAUGGUUUAAGAGGUUUGGUAUAUUCAACCCUCAUUUGGACAAUUUAAUCUCCAUAUUCUCUACCAACACGAGCAUCAUAAGUGCCAUGUGUGACGACUAAGUGCUACCUUUUGAAACAAGAGAUAUUUAGGACAAGGCCGAAACCCCAAUGAAUAAAUCAUAUUUUAAUACGCUGACGAAGGAGUUCCCACCAGCCUCUAGACAAGAGCAACACCAUGAAUUUUAACAAAUGGAGUAGGGUCAAUAAGCUCCCCUACCUCCUUAUUCAUCCUUUACCAUGGGAUUCAUGAAAUGGGCAGAUGAUUUACCUGCAAGACUACACGCUUAUCCCUAGUCAUGGAUCCCUAAUUGUGAGCAUCUAUAAUGAAAUAUUAGAGGAUGAACUUGACGGUUUUAAGCGAUUUGUGACAAGGGAAAAUAUGUAAGCCUUUUGCAAGAUUAGCGAUAUUUGUUAACAAUUGACGAGAUUUAUUUUCUCUUUUUCUUUUUUGUAUAAUUGGUAAGUUUAAUGAAGGAGGAAUGGCGAACCAUGAUCUUUUCCCUCCCAAUAACAACCCAGACCAUAUGUGAUUCAUACGUCUCACUCUGAUUUUAUUAUUCUAUCUUAGUGUUUUUUUUUUCAUUUAUUGUAUUUGUAUCGGUCUUUAUGAGUAGUACUCACAAUAUCUAAUUGAUAACCAUUUCCAUUCUACUUAAUGACACUCAAAAACUUUGUAAUAAUAAAUGACAUCUAUUGUGAUUUUUAUGUAUCCGAGAAAGUAACCUAUUUUAAAACUAGAGAGGAGGUGCGUUUUCAAUUUUAUAAUAGACUUCGUUAAUUGAUCUUAACAAAGAUGUGCAUAAUUUAAAGAAGAAAAUAUAGAGAAUCCAAUGAUCAUCAAUUUGGUUGUUCUUUAACCACAACAUUACAUUAGAGUAUGACUGAAGUAGUAACAAAAGAGACAUUCAUAUAUAUGUGUAUUGAUGUAUUUCAUAUAUUUAAAUAUAUUAAAGAUCUAAUGUUGAAGCAAAAAAUAAUCAAUAUCAUAAUAUAUUUAUUAAAGUAUCUCAUUAUAAUUUGAGAUAACUUGUAUAAGCAAACUAAGAUAAGAAUACUUGCAUUAUAGUAUAUAAAUAUUCGUUUUAGUUUAUCAUAAAAUUUGGAAGGCAAGAGAAAUAUAAAUAGUAAUUUAAAAGUAAAUUAUAAAGUAGAAACUUUACUUUAUGAGCACGAAUAAAAUUGUAUGCUUAGAGCUGAUGCUAUAAUUAUUUGUAGACUUAAUCCUCUGCUAUCAAUCUAUAUUGACAAAAAUUGUCAAUGCACCUCAUAACUAGAGGGAAGGUCUUCUCCGGACAAUCAGUAUGUUCAAAGCAAGAAAUGCGAAGAGGACCACGACGGCGACCUGCAUUGUAGAAGAAAUAAAAGAAAAAUGAAUGUUUAUAAAAAGGGGAUAAUUAUAAGAAUAAUUUUAAAAUGGGAAAGGGGACAUACGACUACUGGUUACAACAAGAAAUAAAGAAAGAAAUAUGACAAGAGCAUGAACAAACAUGAGAAUUUGAGCCAUAUUUUUCCUCCUUAACAUGUAAUAAAUAUGAUUAUUUUGUGUGUUUUAUAGUAAAAUUUCAUUCUUUGUCAACUUCAAUUAAUUAGUUUUUAGCACUUACAACUUGCAAGAAGCCAUAUAUAAAAUUGGAGUUAGUAUUAAA